ensembl:lncRNA
ACGAGGGCGUCGUGCCUUUAUAAGACUACGUUAAUGGCGUUAAUGUUUCCGUGGAGUUAUCCCUUUCAGUUGUUGUUUAUUGAUUGUUAAACAUGGCUUCAUUUGCAAAGGUGGUUGUGUGUUUCCUCAUUGCUUGUGUCUGUAAUUCAUUCUGUUUUGCGAAGAGAGAUGUGAACUUUAAGGCAUAUGCAGUUGACCGCCAAAGUGAUGUGGUUGUCACCACAACACCCAAUCCCCACAGCCAGACCACAUCUGCCCAUACUGAAGCUGGUGGUGGUGCAAGUGAAGAUGCUACCACCCUAGCACCAAAUCCCCAUAAACAAACUACAUCAGGCCACACUGCAGCUACUGAUGAUCCCAGUGAAGAUGCUUUGGCUACCACCCCAACACCACAUCCCCCAACUACAUCUGACCACACUGCAGCUACCGAUGAUCCAAGUGAAGAUGCUUUGGCUACCACCCCAACACCACAUCCCCCAACUACAUCUGACCACACUGCAGCUACCGAUGAUCCAAGUGAAGAUGCUUUGGCUACCACCCCAACAUCACAUCCCCCAACUACAUCUGACCACACUGCAGCUACCGAUGAUCCAAGUGAAGAUGGUUUGGCUACCACCCCAACAUCACAUCCCCCAACUACAUCUGACCACACUGCAGCUACCGAUGAUGCAAGUGAGGGUGCUGUGGCUGUCCAAACUGGAACUACUGUAUCCCAUACGACUGAAGUCUGAUUCGACUGCUCCUCUGGUCACAAUGACCUGAGUCACUGUCUGGACUUUUUGCCUCUACAUGUUGACUGCAAUAAAGGACAGAUAAUUAUUAUUAUUA